rnacentral:rRNA from 1 species
GCAUAUCAAUAAGCGGAGGAAAAGAAACCAACAGGGAUUGCCCUAGUAACGGCGAGUGAAGCGGCAACAGCUCAAAUUUGAAAUCUGGCUCUUUCAGAGUCCGAGUUGUAAUUUGCAGAGGGCGCUUUGGCUUUGGCAGCGGUCCAAGUUCCUUGGAACAGGACGUCACAGAGGGUGAGAAUCCCGUACGUGGUCGCUAGCUAUUGCCGUGUAAAGCCCCUUCGACGAGUCGAGUUGUUUGGGAAUGCAGCUCUAAAUGGGAGGUAAAUUUCUUCUAAAGCUAAAUAUUGGCCAGAGACCGAUAGCGCACAAGUAGAGUGAUCGAAAGAUGAAAAGCACUUUGGAAAGAGAGUCAAACAGCACGUGAAAUUGUUGAAAGGGAAGCGCUUGCAGCCAGACUUGCUUGCAGUUGCUCAUCCGGGCUUUUGCCCGGUGCACUCUUCUGUAGGCAGGCCAGCAUCAGUUUGGGCGGUGGGAUAAAGGUCUCUGUCACGUACCUCCUUUCGGGGAGGCCUUAUAGGGGAGGCGACAUACCACCAGCCUAGACUGAGGUCCGCGCAUCUGCUAGGAUGCUGGCGUAAUGGCUGUAAGCGGCCCGUCUUGAAACACGGACCAAGGAGUCUAACAUCUAUGCGAGUGUUUGGGUGUCAAGCCCGAGCGCGUAAUGAAAGUGAACGGAGGUGGGAACCCUCAAGGGCGCACCAUCGACCGAUCCUGAAGUUUACGGAAGGAUUUGAGUAAGAGCAUGGCUGUUGGGACCCGAAAGAUGGUGAACUAUGCUUGAAUAGGGUGAAGCCAGAGGAAACUCUGGUGGAGGCUCGCAGCGGUUCUGACGUGCAAAUCGAUCGUCAAAUUUGGGAAUAGGGGC